AUUGAACGCUGGCGGCAGGCCUAACACAUGCAAGUCGGACGAGUGGCGGACGGGUGAGUAAUGUAUGGGGAUCUGCCUGAUGGAGGGGGAUAACUACUGGAAACGGUAGCUAAUACCGCAUACCAUCAGAUGAACCCAUAGGGGAUUAGCUAGUUGGUGGGGUAACGGCGACCCGAGGCGACGAUCCCUAGCUGGUCUGAGAGGAUGAUCAGCCACACUGGGACGUAGACACGGUCCAGACUCCUACGGGAGGCAUCAGUGGGGAAUAUUGCACAAUGGGCGCAAGCCUGAUGGAGCCAUGCCGCGUGUAUGAAGAAGGCCUUCGGGUUGUAAAGUACUUUCAGUCGGGAGGCGUUACCGACAGAAGAAGCACCGGCUAACUCCGUGCCAGCAGCCGCGGUAAUUC
rnacentral:rRNA from 1 species